GAGCCCUGCCGGGCCAGCAGGCCGUGUGGCCACAGCGCCGGCAGCGCCGCUGGCAGGGAGCUGUGCCGCUGGGGCCGUGACAGGCUCUGUGUUCGCAGGGAUCGGCGGGCGGCACCUGAGGGGGCAGCAGCAAGAGCUCCAGCUGAUCUGCAGUGCCCUGGAACGCCUGACGGAGGACAUGAGCAGUAUUGUGUCAGAGCUGGCACUUGAAACCCUUCAUGUCCUCCGAGCAACAGCGAGUGGGCAAUAUUCCAUCUUCCAGAGGCUGCAAGAUCAGCUGCGCAGGGCAUGGAGGACUCGGCCUCGUCUGUCACGGCUCGGCUGGCUGCACUGCUGGAGCCCUGUACAGAGCUGAUCCGGGAGGCUCUCUUUUCUGGGGCAACCUGAGCCAGCAGGGAUUUUCUUUUUCUUUAUGAUUUUUCUUUUCCUCCCUUCCAUUUUUUAUCCAAUGUAAAUAUAGAAUGUGUUAUAGUA